CGGGGCGUAGCGCAGCGGCAGCGCGCCUGGUUUGGGACCAGGAGGUCGGCGGUUCAAAUCCGCCCGCCCCGA
rnacentral:tRNA from 1 species